rnacentral:rRNA from 1 species
UACAGAGGGUGCGAGCGUUGUUCGGAAUUAUUGGGCGUAAAGGGCGCGUAGGCGGUGCGGUAAGUCACCUGUGAAAUCUCCUGGCUCAACUGGGAGCUUGCAGGCGAAACUGCCGUGCUGGAGUGUGGGAGAGGUGCGUGGAAUUCCUGGUGUAGCGGUGAAAUGCGUAGAUAUCAGGAGGAACACCUGUGGCGAAAGCGGCGCACUGGACCACAACUGACGCUGAUGCACGAAAGCUAGGGGGAGCAAACAGG